CAGCCGCCGCGGUAAUACGUAGGGUGCAAGCGUUAAUCGGAAUUACUGGGCGUAAAGCGUGCGCAGGCGGUUAUAUAAGUCAGAUGUGAAAUCCCCGGGCUCAACCUGGGAACUGCAUUUGAGACUGUAUGGCUAGAGUGUGUCAGAGGGGGGUAGAAUUCCACGUGUAGCAGUGAAAUGCGUAGAUAUGUGGAGGAAUACCGAUGGCGAAGGCAGCCCCCUGGGAUAACACUGACGCUCAUGCACGAAAGCGUGGGGAGCAAACAGGAUUAGAUACCCCCGUAGUCCCUGUCUCUUAUAA
rnacentral:rRNA from 1 species